GACGAACGCUGGCGGCGUGCUUUACACAUGCAAGUCGAACGGUAAGGCCCUGCUUGUGUGGGGUGCUCGAGUGGCGAACGGGUGAGUCACACGUGAGUAACCUGCCCUUGACUUUGGGUUAACUUCAGGAAACUGGGUCUAAUAUCGGAUAGGAGGUCCUGCUGCAGGGUGGGGGAUGGAAAGUUUCGGGGGUUGGGGAUGAGCUCGCGGCUUAUCAGCUUGUGGGUGGGGUAGUGGCUUACCAAGGCUUUGACGGGUAGCGGGCCUGAGAGGGUGACCGGCGACAUUGGGACUGAGAUGCGGCACAGACGGCUAAGGGAGGCAGAAGUGGGGAAUAUUGCACAAUGGGCGGAGGCCUGAUGCAGCAACGCCGCGUGCGGGAUGACGGCCUUCGGGUUGUAAAACGCUUUCGCCUGUAACGAAGCGUGAGUGACGGUAAUGGAUAAAGAAGCACCGGCUAACUACGUG
rnacentral:rRNA from 1 species